rnacentral:misc_RNA from 1 species
GAGAUGCGAUAAGUAAUGUGAAUUGCUGAAUUCAGUGAAUCAUCGAAUCUUUGAACGCACCUUGCGCUCAUUGGUAUUCCGAGGAGCCUGCAUGUUUGACUGACAUGAAAGCCUCAAACCCAAGUUUUGGAUUUCGGUCCAUGCUUAGGUUUGGAUUUGGAUGUUUGCCGGUGAUGAACCGACUCAUCUUAAAAGUAUUAGCUGGAUCUGUCUAUAUGACUGGUUUGACUUGACAUAAUAAGUAUUUUGCUGAGGACAUCUUCGGAUGGCCAGGACCUAGACUACUGUCUGCUAACUAAACCAUCACUUUAAGUGCAUCUUUGGAUGUUACUCAUUGUGUAACUUUGACAUCUGGCCUCAAAUCAAGUAGGACUACCCGCUGAUCUUAA